rnacentral:rRNA from 1 species
CAGCAGCCGCGGGAAUACGUAGGUGGCGAGCGUUGUCCGGAUUUAUUGGGCGUAAAGGGAGUGUAGGCGGUCUUUUAAGUCUGAUGCGAAAGCCCACGGCUCAACCGUGGAGGGUCAUUGGAAACUGGGAGACUUGAGUGCAGAAGAGGAGAGCGGAAUUCCAUGUGUAGCGGUGAAAUGCGUAGAUAUAUGGAGGAACACCAGUGGCGAAGGCGGCUCUCUGGUCUGUAACUGACGCUGAGGCUCGAAAGCGUGGGGAGCAAACAGGAUUAGAUACCCCGGUAGUCCCUGUCUCUUAUAC